ACGGAGGGUGCAAGCGUUAUCCGGAUUCACUGGGUUUAAAGGGUGCGUAGGCGGGCUUGUAAGUCAGUGGUGAAAGCCCGGGGCUCAACUCCGGAACUGCCGUUGAUACUGCAAGUCUUGAGUACGGUUGAGGUGGGCGGAAUACAUCAUGUAGAGGUGAAAUUCUUAGAUAUGAUGUAGAACACCGAUUGCGAAGGCAGCUCACUAAAGCGUAACUGACGCUGAGGCACGAAAGCAUGGGGAUCAAACAGGA
rnacentral:rRNA from 1 species